rnacentral:misc_RNA from 1 species
ACUUUACAAUCAAAGAUGGCUGCGCCCUGUUGAAUUUAUAUCUCAUGAGAUUAUAGUUACAUUUCAUCUCCUAAAAUGAGUGCUUCACGUAGAGCGACUUACAUUCUACGGAAUAAUCGUGUUAAGAAUAUGAAACUACGUAGGACAAAAAAUGCAGCUUAUAGUUAUUCCUGGAAUGAAGAAGGGGAGAAAAUGCUUCCGGAACAUUACAAGAAGAGAUGCCUAGAAUUUAUGAGCAAGGAACCAACAUCAGUUCAUUAUAUACCCUCAACAGGCACCUUUGGAAUUCAUAAAAAUACCAAAUUACCAAAUAAGAUUCAGAAUGUCCCAAUUCCUGUUUUGUACCCACAAGAUGCCAAUAAAGGACUCUGGGGAGGAGAGGGCUAUAUACUGGGCUACAAAAUGGACAAGAGUCAUCUCAGAAUGAAAAACAGGCUCCCUAAGAUAUGGAAACCAUUUAUUUCAAAGCGAGCGGUGUACAGCGAGAUAUUGGACAAAUGGUUCGAAAUUCCAAUGACAAUGCGAGUUUUAGACUUGAUUGAUGAAUGUCAUGGCUUUGAUAAUUAUAUACUUAAAACACAUGAACGUGAUUUAAACUCCUUACUUGCAAUGAAACUUCGAAGAGAGAUGUUAUUAGCUCUUGCCAACAAAACAUGUUACCCAGAUGACAAAGAUAAACAGGAAAAGAUCAUACAUAAAUACCAUGAGUUCAUAAUCCCAGCAGAGGAGGCUGAGUGGGUGGGGCUGACCAUUACAGAGGCCCUGCAUAAAGCCUGGAGGAUAAGGAGGAAUCUCCCACAAAACCGACCCAAACCACUGAAAGAGGUGUACGAAGAACGGCUAGUUCUAAAACUCCAUUUAAAGAAAGAGAACCAGUGGGAGGCAAUAAUGGAGGAGUCAGAUCGGGAGAAACCACAGGACGAAAAACCGCCAUCAUUGAUACAGAAACUGAACCCGUUCUCAGCCUAUAACAAAAAUAAAAAACAAUAGAAAUGUCAUACAUUUUUAUCAAGUUAUUUUUAUGAUGUUGUUUUAUUGACAGAGAAAUAGUCAGUUGUUGCAAAAUAUUUCAAAAGCAUUAGAAAUUGAGGUUACUCAUGCAUGUAAAUUGAACUUCAUAGUGUUGGGAAUGAGUGAAUUCAUUCGUUUUGAAAUGUUUUAGGAAGAAUACUUUUUUUAUGAAAUGUUUAGUUAAUUUUAAAUUUAUAUCAUAAUUUUGAUGGCUAGCUUAAAAACAAUAGAUCUGAUCAUAUCAUGUACUGAAAAGAAUUCUUAGGGUUACUUCCCUUUUCAUGUAAAAUAUUGUUGAUGAGAUAAUUACGAAAUAUUUUGCGUACUCUUUUGAAACGCAGUAAUUUGCAUUUUAGUCAUAUAAAUCAUACUGCUUUUGACGUUUA